rnacentral:rRNA from 1 species
AAGUCGAGCGGGGUUAAUGCGACAGAUCCCUUCGGGGUGACGUUGCUUUAACCUAGCGGCGGACGGGUGAGUAACGCGUGGGUAACCUACCCUAAAGCUCGGGAUAACAGUGGGAAACCGCUGCUAAUACCGGAUGACUUUAGCCUAUGGCAUCAUGGGUUAAAGAAAGAUUUAUCGCUUUAGGAUGGGCCCGCGUCCCAUUAGCUAGUUGGUGAGGUAACGACUCACCAAGGCGACGAUGGGUAGCCGGCCUGAGAGGGUGUACGGCCACACUGGGACUGAGACACGGCCUCAGACUCCUACGGGAGGCAGCAGUAGGGAAUAUUGCGCAAUGGACGGAAGUCCGACGCAGCGACGCCGCGUGAGCGAUGAAGGCCUUCGGGUCGUAAAGCUCUGUCCUUGGGGAAGAAGGUCUUCGGACUUGACGGUACCCAAGAAGAAAGCCCCGAUUAACUACGUGCCAGCAGCCGCGGUAAUACGUAGGGGGCGAGCGUUGUCCGUAAUUAUUGGGCGUAAAGGGUGCGUAGGCGGCCUUUUAAGUCAGAUGUGAAAGACCACGGUUUAACCGUGGGGUUCCAUUUGAAGCUGGAAGGCUUGAGUAUCGGAGAGGGUAGCGAAAUUCCCAGUGUAGCGGUGGAAUGAGUAGAUAUUGGGAGGAACACCAUUGGCGAAGGAGACUACCUGGACGAAAACUGACGGUGAGGCACGAAAGAUAGGGGAGCAAACAGGAUUAGAUACCCUGGUAGUCCUAGCCGUCAACGAUGGGUACUAGGUGUAGGAGGUUUCGAUACCUUCUGUGCCCCAGUUAACGCAAUAAGUACCCCGCCUGGGGAGUACGUGCGCAAGCAUGAAACUCAAAUGAAUUGACGG